AUACAGCUAACGAGUCCCAAAUAGGACGAAAUGCGUGUCCUGGAU
rnacentral:hammerhead_ribozyme from 1 species